GGAGUUGUGGCUCAGUAGUAGAGGGCUUGCCUAGCAUGUAUGAGGCACUGGGUUCAAUUCUCAGCACCA
rnacentral:tRNA from 1 species